rnacentral:rRNA from 1 species
ACACUCCUGCGGGAGGCAGCAGUGGGGAAUAUUGGACAAUGGGCGCAAGCCUGAUCCAGCCAUGCCGCGUGAGUGAUGAAGGCCCUAGGGUUGUAAAGCUCUUUCACCGGUGAAGAUAAUGACGGUAACCGGAGAAGAAGCCCCGGCUAACUUCGUGCCAGCAGCCGCGGUAAUACGAAGGGGGCUAGCGUUGUUCGGAUUUACUGGGCGUAAAGCGCACGUAGGCGGACUAUUAAGUCAGGGGUGAAAUCCCGGGGCUCAACCCCGGAACUGCCUUGGAUACUGGUAGUCUUGAGUUCGAGAGAGGUGAGUGGAAUUCCGAGUGUAGAGGCGAAAUUCGUAGAUAUUCGGAGGAACACCAGUGGCGAAGGCGGCUCACUGGCUCGAUACUGACGCUGAGGUGCGAAAGCGUGGGGAGCAAACAGGAUUAGAAACCCUUGUAGUCCCA